AAGUCAGAUGUGAAAGCCUUCUGUUCAACGGAAGAAUUGCAUCUGAAACUACAAGUCUUGAGUGUAGGAGGGGAGAAUGGAACUUCUGGUGGAGCGGUGAAAUGCGUAGAUAUCAGAAGGAACGCCGGCGGCGAAAGCGAUUCUCUGGCCUAUUACUGACACUCAGUGUGCGAAAGCUAGGGGAGCAAACGGGAUUAGAUACCCCGGUAGUCCUAGCCGUAAACGAUGGGCACUAAGUAGAGGGAAUUACCGAUGUUCUCUCUGCCGUAGCUAACGCAUUAAGUGCCCCGCCUGGGGAGUACGGCCGCAAGGCUAAAACUCAAAAGAAUUGACGGGGGCUCGCACAAGCGGUGGAGCAUGUGGCUUAAUCCGAUGCAACGCGAAGAACCUUACCGGGGCUUGACAUGGUAGAAGUAGGAACCCGAAAGGGUAACGAACGGUAUCCAGUCCGUAACUAUCACAGGUGUUGCAUGGCUGUCGUCAGCUCGUGUCGUGAGACGUUGGGUUAAGUCCCCUAACGAGCGAAACCCUUGUUUUUAGUUGCCAGCGGGUUGUGCCGGGCACUCUAGAAAGACUGCCGUCGUCAAGACGGAGGAAGGUGGGGACGACGUCAAGUCAUCAUGGCCCUUAUGCCCCGGGCUGCACACGUGCUACAAUGGUCGGUACAAACGGAAGCGAAG
rnacentral:rRNA from 1 species